UACAGAGGGGGCAAGCGUUAUUCGGAAUUAUUGGGCGUAAAGGGCGCGUAGGCGGCUUUGCAAGUGACGGGUGAAAUCCCUCGGCUUAACCGAGGAACUGCCUGUCAAACUGCAUGGCUUGAGACCGGGAGAGGUGAGUGGAAAUUCCCAGUGUAGCGGUGAAAUGCGUAGAUAUUGGGAGGAACACCAGUGGCGAAGGCGGCUCACUGGACCGGUACUGACGCUGAUGCGCGAAAGCGUGGGGAGCAACAGG
rnacentral:rRNA from 1 species